GCUCAGCGCAGUUGUGGGUUUCAGUGUCCAACUUUGACCGUCCGUCUUAUUUUAAAAAUUAUUAUUAUUACUAUUUUCAUUGUUAUUUGAUAAUAAAAUAUAAAGAGUACUUUAUGUGUGACUUAAUUUUUUAAAAAAAUUUCAUAAAUUUUUCAAAUAAGACGGACGGUCAAACGUUAGACACGGAAACUUAUGGCUGCACUAAAA
rfam:Oryza barthii chromosome 1, whole genome shotgun sequence.